CCNUUAGAGUUUGAUCNUGNNUCAGGACGAACGCUGGCGGCGUGCUUAACACAUGCAAGUCGAACGAACUCGGACUUCGGUCCUUAUGGGUGAGUGGCGAACGGGUGAGUAACACGUGAGAAACCUGCCCCGAAGUUUGGAAUAACUCAGAGAAAUUUGAGCUAAUACCAGAUGCCCACUGUCAGCCGCAUGGUUGGUUGAGGAAAGAUUUAUCGCUUUGGGAGGGUCUCGCGACCUAUCAGCUAGUUGGUGAGGUAAUGGCUCACCAAGGCAUCGACGGGUAGCUGGUUUGAGAGAACGAUCAGCCACACUGGAACUGAGACACGGUCCAGACUCCUACGGGAGGCAGCAGUGGGGAAUCUUGCACAAUGGGCGAAAGCCUGAUGCAGCGACGCCGCGUGGGGGAUGAAGGCCUUAGGGUCGUAAACCCCUUUCAGUAGGGAAGAAAAUGACGGUACCUACAGAAGAAGCUCCGGCCAANUACGUGCCAGCAGCCGCGGUAAUAAGGGCG
rnacentral:rRNA from 1 species